rnacentral:rRNA from 1 species
CAAUAGCGUAUAUUAAAGUUGUUGCAGUUAAAAAGCUCGUAGUUGGAUUUCUGGUAGGAGUGACCGUUCCGAACUUGAUUGUUCGUGUAUUGUGUUUUCUCCAGCCAUCCUCGUGGAGAACUUUUCUUGCAUUAAUUUGUAGGGAUUGGGACCCGCAUCGUUUACUGUGAAAAAAUUAGAGUGUUUAAAGCAGGCAAUCGCUUGAAUACAUUAGCAUGGAAUAAUAAGAUAGGACUUUGGUACUAUUUUGUUGGUUUGCAUACCAAAUUAAUGAUCAACAGGAACAGUUUGAGGAUAUUCGUAUGAACAUGUCAGAGGUGAAAUUCUUGGAUUUUGAUCAGACGAACUACUGCGAAAGCAUUUAUCAAGGAUGUUUUCAUUAA